CGCGGCCUAUCAGCUUGUUGGUGGGGUAACGGCCCACCAAGGCAUCGACGGGUAGCUGGUCUGAGAGGACGAUCAGCCACACUGGGACUGAGACACGGCCCAGACUCCUACGGGAGGCAGCAGUGGGGAAUAUUGCGCAAUGGGCGAAAGCCUGACGCAGCAACGCCGCGUGGGGGAUGACGGCCUUCGGGUUGUAAACCCCUUUCAGCAGGGACGAAAAUGACGGUACCUGCAGAAGGAGCCCCGGCCAACUACGUGCCAGCAGCCGCGGUAACACGUAGGGGGCGAGCGUUGUCCGGAUUUAUUGGGCGUAAAGAGCUCGUAGGCAGUUGCGUAAGUCGGAUGUGAAAACUCAGGGCUCAACCCGGAGACGCCAUCCGAUACUGCGCUGACUAGAGUCCGGUAGGGGAGCAUGGAAUUCCUGGUGUAGCGGUGAAAUGCGCAGAUAUCAGGAGGAACACCAGCGGCGAAGGCGGUGCUCUGGGCCGGAACUGACGCUGAGGAGCGAAAGCGUGGGUAGCAAACAGGAUUAGAUACCCUGGUAGUCCACGCCGUAAACGUUGGGCACUAGGUGUGGGGCCUACUUAACGGGUUCCGUGCCGUAGCUAACGCAUUAAGUGCCCCGCCUGGGGAGUACGG
rnacentral:rRNA from 1 species